rnacentral:rRNA from 1 species
UACAGAGUCCCGAGCGUUGUUCGGAUUCACUGGGCGUAAAGGGUGCGUAGGUGGUAGGGUAAGUCGGAUGUGAAAUCUCGGAGCUCAACUCCGAAACUGCAUUGGAAACUACCCAACUUGAGAGUCGGAGGGGGACUGGAAUUCUCGGUGUAGCAGUGAAAUGCGUAGAUAUCGAGAGGAACACCAGUGGCGAAGGCAAUCCCCUGGGCCUGCACUGACGCUCAUGCACGAAGCGUGGGAGCAACAGG